CAACCAGCACCUCAAGUGGUCAGGAUGAUUAUUGGGCCUAAAGCAUCCGUAGCCGGCUCUGUAAGUUUUCGGUUAAAUCUGUACGCUCAACGUACAGGCUGCUGGGAAUACUGCAGGGCUAGGGAGUGGGAGAGAUAGACGGUACUCGGGAGGAAGUGGUAAAAUGCUUUGAUCUCUCGAUGACCACCUGUGGCGAAGGCGGUCUACCAGAACACGUCCGACGGUGAGGGAUGAAAGCUGGGGGAGCAAACCGGAUUAGAAACCCGUGUAGUCC
rnacentral:rRNA from 1 species